AGAGAGAGACAUGCGCGCAUAUCAAUAAGCGGAGGAAAAGAAACUAACAAGGAUUCCCCUAGUAACGGCGAGUGAAGCGGGAAGAGCUCAAAUUUGAAAUCUUAAAGGGUUUCCCUUUACGAAUUGUAGUUUAAAGAAGUGUUUUCUGUUGAGGUUUUGGUAAAAGUUCUUUGGAAUAGGACAUCAUAGAGGGUGAGAAUCCCGUAUUUGACCUUUACUUUCAACUUUGUGAUACACUUUCAAAGAGUCGGAUUGUUUGGGAAUGCAGUCCAAAAUGGGUGGUAAAUUUCAUCUAAAGCUAAAUAUUGGCGAGAGACCGAUAGCGAACAAGUACCGUGAGGGAAAGAUGAAAAGAACUUUGAAAAGAGAGUUAAACAGUACGUGAAAUUGUCAAAAGGGAAGCGUUUGACACCAGUGUUGUUUUUCUGAAAAUCAAUUAAAGAACUGUUUAUGCUAAGUUGUUUAGACUUUAUCAGCUAACUGUUUAGUUUUGAGCUUUUCUUUAAUGCACUUUUCAGUUAACAAGUCAACAUCAAUUUCCUUUGCUGUAAAAAAGCUUGAGGAAGGUGGCUUGAGAUUCGUCUUAAGUGUUUAUAGCCUCUUGCCUAUGCAGUCGGAGAGAUUGAGGUCUGCAGCGUAGAUCCUUCGGGGCUAAAUGCAUUUGUGCUAAGUUAUAGCAUUUUAUAGACAACUUGUUGACUAUGAUUUGUCUUGUAGCUUACUCGCUUAUGUUAUUUUACCUACGCUUAGGAUGUUGACGCAUGAGAUAUACGC
rnacentral:rRNA from 1 species